AGAGUUUGAUCCUGGCUCAGGAUGAACGCUGGCGGCGUGCUUAACACAUGCAAGUCGAACGGGAAAUAUUUCAUUGAGACUUCGGUGGAUUUGAUCUAUUUCUAGUGGCGGACGGGUGAGUAACGCGUGGGUAACCUGCCUUAUACAGGGGGAUAACAGUCAGAAAUGGCUGCUAAUACCGCAUAAGCGCACAGAGCUGCAUGGCUCAGUGUGAAAAACUCCGGUGGUAUAAGAUGGACCCGCGUUGGAUUAGCUAGUUGGUGGGGUAACGGCCCACCAAGGCGACGAUCCAUAGCCGGCCUGAGAGGGUGAACGGCCACAUUGGGACUGAGACACGGCCCAGACUCCUACGGGAGGCAGCAGUGGGGAAUAUUGCACAAUGGGGGAAACCCUGAUGCAGCGACGCCGCGUGAAGGAAGAAGUAUCUCGGUAUGUAAACUUCUAUCAGCAGGGAAGAUAGUGACGGUACCUGACUAAGAAGCCCCGGCUAACUACGUGCCAGCAGCCGCGGUAAUACGUAGGGGGCAAGCGUUAUCCGGAUUUACUGGGUGUAAAGGGAGCGUAGACGGUGUGGCAAGUCUGAUGUGAAAGGCAUGGGCUCAACCUGUGGACUGCAUUGGAAACUGUCAUACUUGAGUGCCGGAGGGGUAAGCGGAAUUCCUAGUGUAGCGGAGAAAUGCGUAGAUAUUAGGAGGAACACCAGUGGCGAAGGCGGCUUUCUGGACUGUAACUGACGCUGAGGCUCGAAAGCGUGGGGAGCGAACAGGAUUAGAUACCCUGGUAGUCCACGCCGUAAGCGAUGAAUGCUAGGUGUAGGAGGUAUCGACCCCUUCUGUGCCGGAGUUAACGCAAUAAGCAUUCCGCCUGGGGAGUACGGCCGCAAGGCUGAAACUCAAAGGAAUUGACGGGGGCCCGCACAAGCGGUGGAGUAUGUGGUUUAAUUCGACGCAACGCGAAGAACCUUACCAGGGCUUGACAUUGAGUGAAAGGACAAGAGAUUGUCCCCUCUCUUCGGAGACACGAAAACAGGUGGUGCAUGGCUGUCGUCAGCUCGUGUCGUGAGAUGUUGGGUUAAGUCCCGCAACGAGCGCAACCCUUAUCCUUUGUUGCCAGCACGUUAUGGUGGGAACUCAAAGGAGACUGCCGCGGACAACGCGGAGGAAGGCGGGGAUGACGUCAAGUCAUCAUGCCCCUUAUGUCCUGGGCUACACACGUACUACAAUGGGAUGGACAGAGAGCAGCGAAGCCGCGAGGCCAAGCGAACCCCAUAAACCAUCUCCCAGUUCGGAUUGCAGGCUGCAACCCGCCUGCAUGAAGUUGGAAUCGCUAGUAAUCGCAGGUCAGCAUACUGCGGUGAAUACGUUCCCGGGUCUUGUACACACCGCCCGUCACACCACGGAAGUCAUUCACACCCGAAGCCGGCAGGCUAACCUUUUGGAGGCAGCCGUCUAAGGUGGGGGCGAUGACUGGGGUGAAGUCGUAACAAGGUA
rnacentral:rRNA from 1 species